rnacentral:rRNA from 1 species
UAAGCAUAUCAAUAAGCGGAGGAAAAGAAACCAACAGGGAUUGCCCUAGUAACGGCGAGUGAAGCGGCAACAGCUCAAAUUUGAAAUCUGGCGUCUUUGGCGUCCGAGUUGUAAUUUGCAGAGGGCGCUUUGGCAUUGGCAGCGGUCCAAGUUCCUUGGAACAGGACGUCACAGAGGGUGAGAAUCCCGUACGUGGUCGCUAGCCUUUACCGUGUAAAGCCCCUUCGACGAGUCGAGUUGUUUGGGAAUGCAGCUCUAAAUGGGAGGUAAAUUUCUUCUAAAGCUAAAUACUGGCCAGAGACCGAUAGCGCACAAGUAGAGUGAUCGAAAGAUGAAAAGCACUUUGGAAAGAGAGUUAAAAAGCACGUGAAAUUGUUGAAAGGGAAGCGCUUGCAGCCAGACUUGCCUGUAGUUGCUCAUCCGAGUUUUUACCCGGUGCACUCUUCUAUAGGCAGGCCAGCAUCAGUUUGGGCGGUUGGAUAAAGGUCUCUGUCACGUACCUCCUCUCGGGGAGAUCUUAUAGGGGAGACGAAAUGCAACCAGCCUGGACUGAGGUCCGCGCAUCUGCUAGGAUGCUGGCGUAAUGGCUGUAAGCGGCCCGUCUUGAAACACGGACCAAGGAGUCUAACAUCUAUGCGAGUGUUUGGGUGUCAAGCCCGAGCGCGUAAUGAAAGUGAACGGAGGUGGGAACCUUUCGGGGUGCACCAUCGACCGAUCCUGAUGUCUUCGGAUGGAUUUGAGUAAGAGCAUAGCUGUUGGGACCCGAAAGAUGGUGAACUAUGCUUGAAUAGGGUGAAGCCAGAGGAAACUCUGGUGGAGGCUCGCAGCGGUUCUGACGUGCAAAUCGAUCGUCAAAUUUGGGCAUAGGGGCGAAAGACUAAUCGAACUAUCUAGUAGCUGGUUCCUGCCGA